rnacentral:rRNA from 1 species
UACGUAGGUGGCAAGCGUUGUCCGGAUUUACUGGGCGUAAAGCGUAUGCAGGCGGAUACUUAAGUAGGAAGUGAAAGGUGGGGAGCUCAACUCCCACAUUGCUCCCUAUACUGGGUGUCUUGAGUGGCGGAGAGGGAGAUGGAACGACACGUGUAGCGGUGAAAUGCGUUGAUAUGUGUCGGAACACCAAUGGCGAAAGCAAUCUCCUGGACGCAAACUGACGCUGAGAUACGAAAGCCAAGGUAGCAAACAGG